rnacentral:rRNA from 1 species
UACGUAGGGGGCGAGCGUUGUCCGGAAUUACUGGGCGUAAAGGGCGUGUAGGCGGUUGAAUAAGUCUGAUGUGAAAUGCCGGAGCUCAACUUCGGAAUGGCAUUGGAAACUGUUUGACUGGAGUUCGGUAGGGGUGACUGGAAUUCCUGGUGUAACGGUGAAAUGUGUAGAUAUCAGGAGGAACACCUGUGGCGAAGGCGGGUCACUGGGCCGUAACUGACGCUGAGACGCGAAAGCGUGGGUAGCAAACAGG